UGACCCGGAACUCCCCAUCGGGCCCGUGACAACCGCCACGAGGCCUCAACAGACAUUCUUCACCCCGAAUGCCGAUUGAAACCCCGCAAGGCUUAGCAUCAACUUUCGCAUCUCCCCGGUGAGCAACAGUUAUUAAAUCUAGCAUUUCAAAAAAAUCAUAAGUCAUUUUCAAAUAAGAACAAUAAAAUAUUAUUUUCUGGCUCACAGGGGUAUUUUCGUAAUUUUUCGUCAAAAAUCUCAAAACUUGCUAAAAAUGUAGUAGGUAAGUAGAAAAUAUAUAUUUAAUGAUUUAAAAACAAUUAAGUAUCUGAAACGUUCAUUUGAAAGCAAAUUGUUGACAACUAGUACUAUUCAAAAAUAAUAAAUAAAAUAUUCUAUUUUCUCAUAAAAUAAAUUUUUAUAGAAAUAUUCAUAAAUAAUUUUUCGCACAUGAAAGUAAAGUAAAAAUUGUAUGAAUAGAAAUACAGAUAACCAAAAUAUAAGUUUUGAUCUGCAAUGACACGUGGGCUCCAAUUAACCAAGAGGAUGUAAGACUGUGAACUCUUACUUUCUAUAAUGCAGUUCCGAGCUUAGUUCUCGUCCUACUCGACUAUCUACAAACUGUCCUGAGCCUGAAAAAUGUAUAGGAAUAAGGGGUGAGAUUUUAUAAUCCCAGUGAGUAAACAGAUACCAUCUAAAGUAUCUAAAGCCGAGUAAAUAGAGACAAUUAAAAUAAGUCAUCAUAUCAUAAUUUCAUUACCUUUCAGUUCAUUUCAACCAAAUAAAAUCAAUCCAUAUAAAUCGAGUAAUCAACUUGGCUUAUGAAUUUCUUAAAACUUUG
rnacentral:lncRNA from 1 species